rnacentral:lncRNA from 1 species
GUCUCAUCCAGUUCUGGGCGGACCCAGGCAGGAGUUUCCUCGAAGGAUUAGACAUCCUAGUUCUGCAACAGGCCGCCAGGUCGAGGGUACGCUAAGAAGAAGCUGAAAGCCACCCUACUGUCCCCCAGAGGCAGGAAGCAGAGGCAGAGGCAGAGGCAGGAAGGUCACCGAGAAUUUGAGACCAGCCUGGGCUAAGAAUGAUUGGCAAAAUGGGCCUGGUUUGAUAACAGAGAGGUCCUGUGUCCCAGCUCCUGACCUAGUUAAGGUCUCAGUUAAUCAGCCUAACAAUCAUCAGAUAUGUGAGUAAGGAAGAUUUCUAAACAAAUCCACGUCCAGCUGCCAAGUGACCAGUUGCAGGAGAGACUCCCACCCUAGCUGAGAUCAGUCAGGAUCUCAAUAUGUAGUCCAGGCUGGCCUAAAAUUCACGAUCUCCUGCCUCAGCCUCCCAG